rnacentral:rRNA from 1 species
GAUGAACGCUGGCGGCGUGCUUAACGCAUGCAAGUCGAGCGAGAAAAGUUCUUCGGAGCUUUUCUAGCGGCGGACGGUGAGUAACACGUGGGCAACCUGCCUCAUAGAGGGGAAUAGCCUUCCGAAAGGAAGAUUAAUACCGCAUAAUAUUGUUGAAAGGCAUCUUUUAACAAUCAAAGGAGCAAUCCGCUAUGAGAUGGGCCCGCGGCGCAUUAGCUAGUGGUGAGGUAACGGCUCACCAAGGCGACGAUGCGUAGCCGACCUGAGAGGGUGAUCGGCCACAUUGGAACUGAGACACGGUCCAGACUCUACGGAGGCAGCAGUGGGGAAUAUUGCACAAAUGGGGGAAACCCUGAUGCAGCAACGCGCGUGAGUGAUGAAAGGGUCUUCGGGAUUGUAAAGCUCUGUCUUUAGGGACGAUAAUGACGGUACCUAAGGA